AGCGAACGCUGGCGGCAGGCCUAAUACAUGCAAGUCGAGCGGCCACUUCGGUGGCAGCGGCGGACGGGUGAGUAACGCGUGGGAAUAUGCCCUUUGGUACGGAACAACUGAGGGAAACUUCAGCUAAUACCGUAUGUGCCCUUCGGGGAAAGAUUUAUCGCCAUUGGAGUAGCCCGCGUUGGAUUAGGUAGUUGGUGAGG
rnacentral:rRNA from 1 species